UCUAAUGUUUAAAAGUGUAAUAAGUCCUUAAGAUGUUCAUUCUUCGGGAUGAUUUCAUUUCUAGCUAAGUACGUAACUACUGGGAACCAGAUCGCCUGAAAGUUUUCAACAGCAUUCUGUGAUUGAGGAGAAGUCGUUUUCCCAUAAAUGAAAUGUUCCCACAAGUUGUUUUGCCAGUCAUAUAGGUUAGGUGAGGAGCUUCUUUUCCAUUUCUGAGCGAUUGUUAUCCUGGCAAUAGCUAAUAAAAUUGAAGUUAAAUUUCUUUGUGUUUUUCUUUCACAGGUAUCAGGAAGGAUGUCUAGGAGGACCGUCUCCGGAAGAGCAGGGAUGAACCAGUCUUGGUUUAAAAAAGAAGAUAAUACAGAGUUUUUUGAUAAUAGAUCCGGACGUCUGCGGUCCCAAACUUCCAAAGCCGCUUCCAAGAAUGAUAUUAGAGGAAAUCGCAAUCAACUUCCCCCGAAGAACCGCUUUGAAUGCGUCC